CCUACGGGCGGCUGCAGUGAGGAAUAUUGGUCAAUGGACGAGAGUCUGAACCAGCCAAGUAGCGUGAAGGAUGACUGCCCUAUGGGUUGUAAACUUCUUUUAUAAAGGAAUAAACCGAGGCACGCGUGCCUUUUUGCAUGUACUUUAUGAAUAAGGAUCGGCUAACUCCGUGCCAGCAGCCGCGGUAAUACGGAGGAUCCGAGCGUUAUCCGGAUUUAUUGGGUUUAAAGGGAGCGUAGAUGGGGUGUUAAGUCAGUUGUGAAAGUUUGCGGCUCAACCGUAAAAUUGCAAUUGAUACUGGCAGUCUGGAGUACAGUGGAGGUAGACGGAAUACGUGGUGUAGCGGUGAAAUGCUUAGAUAGCACGAAGAACCCCGAGUGCGAGGGCAGCUUACUAAACUGUGACUGACAUUGAUGCUCGAGAGUGUGGGUAUCAAACAGGAUUAGAGACACCUGUAGUC
rnacentral:rRNA from 1 species